GUCUAUGGCCAUGCCCUGAACGUGCCAGAUCUCGUCUGACUUCGGAAGCUAAACAGGGUUGGGCCUGGUUAGUACGUGGAUGGGAGACCGCCUAGAAAGACCAGGUGCUUUAGGCG
rnacentral:rRNA from 1 species